AACGAACGCUGGCGGCAUGCCUAACACAUGCAAGUCGAACGAGACCUUCGGGUCUAGUGGCGCACGGGUGCGUAACGCGUGGGAACCUGCCCUUAGGUUCGGAAUAACUCCCCGAAAGGGGUGCUAAUACCGGUUAAUGUCUUCGGACCAAAGAUUUAUCGCCGUUGGAUGGGCCCGCGUUGGAUUAGCUAGUUGGUAGGGUAAAAGCCUAUCAAGGCGACGGUCCAUAGCUGGCCUGACAGGAUGAUCAGCCAAACGGGGACUGAGACACGGCCCAGACUCCUACGGGAGGCAGCAGUGGGGAAUAUUGGACAAUGGGCGAAAGCCUGAUCCAGCAAUGCCGCGUGAGUGAUGAAGGCCUUAGGGUUGUAAAGCUCUUUUACCCGGGAUGAUAAUGACAGUACCGGGAGAAUAAGCUCCGGCUAACUCCGUG
rnacentral:rRNA from 1 species